rnacentral:rRNA from 1 species
GAUGAACGCUGGCGGCGUGCCUAAUACAUGCAAGUCGAGCGGACAGACGAGGACUUUGUUCCUCUGACGUUAGCGGCGGACGGGUGAGAAACACGUGGAUACCCUCCCUAUAAGACUGGGAUAACUUCGGGAAACCGGAGCAUAUCCCGGAGAAUAUAUUUACCCGUGGGGUUUAAUAGUAAAAGAUGGUGUUGCGGAUGCGUAUACAGGCUUCCGCGCCGCAUUAGCUAGUUGGGAAGGUAACGGCUUACCAAGGCAACUAGUCGUAGCCGACGUGGGAGAGGGGUCGGCCACACGGGAGCUUGAACGCGGACCAGGCUACUGAGGGACGGCGCAGUAGGGAACCGGACGCAGUGGGCGAGAGCCUGACGGAGCGACGCCGCGUGAGUGGUGACGGUCUUCGGAUCGUAAAACUCUGUUAUUAGGUAAGAACAAAUGUGUAAGUAACUGUGGACGUCUUGACGGUACCUGAUCAGAAAGCCACGGCUAACUACGUG